GGUUUCGUGGGGUACUGGUAACCCGCCCGGAUUUCGUCUGUAAGAGGAGAUGCUGGUUCGAAUCCAGCCGGAGCCU
rnacentral:tRNA from 1 species